rnacentral:sRNA from 1 species
AGAUAAAACGCUCAUUAUCGGACUUUCUCCGACGGCGAGAGCGACAUUUUCGACCAUUGACGCGGUUUUUGUCUUGCGAAAAGUCGCGUCGAACCUUGAUUAAAGCGUUAGCACGAUGUUUUUGCUAUUUUUUUGAGACAUAAAGAAAGA